AUGGAGGUGAGGUUCCCCCUUAUCCUCUCUUUCUCUUCACCACAGGCAGCCCCUGACCCCCUUGGAUUCGAUUUGGCAGGCCGUGUGCAGGCGGGGAAGGACAGCAUGGCGCGCUUGGUGCGCGAGCUCGAGGGCACCGGCCUGCUCGUCGAGCGCGUCCGCGGCGUCUCCGCCGAGUUCAUCAAGAACUACGAGGGGCUUAAGCAGGAGCAUGAUAAGAAGGUGGGGCUGCUGACGAAGCAGGAGGUGAGGGGUGUGGACUACCUCAAGAUGGAGAAGAACAUGAUGGAGAUGGAGAGCCUCGAGUCCAAGAUGCUGGUGGCCACCCAGUCCAUCGACACCACCACCUCCGAGAUCAUCAGGCUCAGAGAAUCAGAGCUAUUCCCUCAGCUACUUGAGCUGGUUGCUGGGUCAGUACCACACUACCAUCACUCCUCACUCAUUCAUUUACUGUAUGCAUCCAGUACUGGUACCUCACAUGUCUCACUACUUCAGACCAUGCAUGCUGCUGUUUCUCUUUGGUCCUCAUGUAAAUGCACCCUUGGCACUGUAGCAAGUCAACACUCACUGGUUUGCAAGGAUGUCAUUUACAUCUAG
rnacentral:rRNA from 1 species